rnacentral:rRNA from 1 species
GUCGAGCAACGAUGAAAAUCGGACGUAGGGAUCCGGAGGUUCUGCGUGGAAGGGCCAUGGCUCAACGGAUAAAAGCUACCCUGGGGAUAACAGGCUUAUCUCCCCCAAGAGUCCACAUCGACGGGGAGGUUUGGCACCUCGAUGUCGGCUCAUCACAUCCUGGGGCUGUAGUAGGUCCCAAGGGUUGGGCUGUUCGCCCAUUAAAGUGGUACGCGAGCUGGGUUCAGAACGUCGUGAGACAGUUCGGUCCCUAUCCGUCGCAGGCGUAGGAAAUUUGAGAAGACCUGUCCUUAGUACGAGAGGACCGGGAUGGACGUACCUCUGGUGUACCAGUUGUCCUGCCAAGGGCAUGGCUGGGUAGCUAUGUACGGAAUGGAUAAGCGCUGAAAGCAUCUAA